rnacentral:rRNA from 1 species
AGAUUGAACGCUGGCGGCAGGCCUAACACAUGCAAGUCGAGCGGCAGCACGGGUACUUGUACCUGGUGGCGAGCGGCGGACGGGUGAGUAAUGCCUAGGAAUCUGCCUGAUAGUGGGGGAUAACGUUCGGAAACGGACGCUAAUACCGCAUACGUCCUACGGGAGAAAGUGGGGGAUCUUCGGACCUCACGCUAUCAGAUGAGCCUAGGUCGGAUUAGCUAGUUGGUAGGUAAGGCCUACCAAGGCUACGAUCCGUAACUGGUCUGAGAGGAUGAUCAGUCACACUGGAACUGAGACCACGG